rnacentral:rRNA from 1 species
UACGUAGGGGGCAAGCGUUGUCCGGAAUCAUUGGGCGUAAAGCGCGUGUAGGCGGCCCGGUAAGUCCGCUGUGAAAGUCGGGGGCUCAACCCUCGAAAGCCGGUGGAUACUGUGAGGCUAGAGUACGGAAGAGGCGAGUGGAAUUCCUGGUGUAGCGGUGGAAUGCGCAGAUAUCAGGAGGAACACCAAUAGCGAAGGCAGCUCGCUGGGACGUUACUGACACUGAGGCGCGAAAGCGUGGGGAGCGAACAGG